UACGCUGCCCACAACUACUACACUGAAGCUUCGAAGUGCUACACCAUAAAUGUACAACCAAUUUGCAAGCAAGGUUAUGUGACGACGUGCUGCUGUUAAAUCUUGUAUCUUUGAUGCAUAUGACCGUUGGUGUAGUGAUGUUUCCUGGGUAUGGCGGAUAUUAAACCGCAACGCUACUGUCUUGCUACACAACAACAAUCUUAACGACCUGUUACUACACCGAAAAGGCUGAAUAUUACACAAGGACGUACACUACCCCAGUUUACUACACCGAAGAGCCUGAGCAUUACUCUGCUCCGAGCUACAACGGAGGCUCCUGUUUACUACACCACCAUCGCCCCCGAGUGCUACUACACCACGUUGCCCCCAACCGCUACAAAGCGAAGUACUACACCAUCGAAGGAAAUCAAUUCGCAUUCACGGAUUACUAUGGUGUUGUGCUGCUGUCGGGUGUUGUAUCGUUGAUGGUUGGGUGGAUUAUGAGUGUACCGAUGUCUCCUGGGUAUGGUGGUUUUCAAGUACUAGCAGCUAUAGAAUCACCACGUUGCUGUCUUACUAUUUAACAACGUCGCCAUACGCAACACCUACUUACUACACUGAUGCUCGUAAAUACUGCACCUCCAAGGCUCCAAGAGUACUACACGAAUAUCUACGCUGCUCCGAGCUACACUGAGGCUGUAGCUUAUUAAUCCACAAAGCGGCCGAGUACCGAGGGUUUCCAAGUACUACACUUCAACCUACUGCAGAGCAGUAGUUAUCAACAACUGCCAUAAUCGUAUGAAAUAUUCGCAACCGUUGGUAAAUAUUAUAUUUUAAUUCGAAUCGAAAAUCAGUGUUAUCGUUGUUGUAAAU
rnacentral:lncRNA from 1 species